rnacentral:tRNA from 3 species
GCGGAAAUAGCUCAGUUGGUAGAGCAUAACCUUGCCAAGGUUAGGGUCGCGAGUUCGAGUCUCGUUUUCCGC